rnacentral:rRNA from 1 species
UACGUAGGGUGCAAGCGUUGUCCGGAAUUAUUGGGCGUAAAGAGCUCGUAGGCGGUUUGUCGCGUCUGCUGUGAAAACCGGAGGCUCAACCUCCGGCCUGCAGUGGGUACGGGCAGACUAGAGUGCGGUAGGGGAGAUUGGAAUUCCUGGUGUAGCGGUGAAAUGCGCAGAUAUCAGGAGGAACACCAGCGGCGAAGGCGGCGCUCUGGGCCGGAACUGACGCUGAGGAGCGAAAGCGUGGGUAGCAAACAGG